AUGUUGCCGCAAGCAAGAAAGUGGUUAAUGACAAGUUGCCGACCCCGUGGAGGAAGAUGCAUCACCUAGGCCAGCCUAUGCUGCCGGCACACAUUGUCCAGCAGGUGACGCCCGAUAUGAGGAGCUUGCAUGAUGCUGUUCUAAUGAAGGAGGAACUACUUCUUCGAGAUAGAAAUCCCUCGUACCCGGUUUUGACGGCCAAGGUGCCCAGUGGCUUUGGCUUUGUCACCACAUACCCUGCGGACUUGAUGUUCAUUCGAUAUGAAGACAUCUUCAGGCUAUUGAACAUGCAACAGCUCGACCGAAACUUGGUCCGCCUCCUAUCGCUCAGCAUGGCGCACGAUAUCGCCAUGGAGAACACAGCGGACAUCGCUAUCAUGGACCCCUUCUACAUGACUCCAACUGUCGUCCAGAACGAACAAGCGUUUCUGGCAAAGUACAUCAGGGAUUUCUUGGUGUUAAACAAGGAUAAGAAAUGCUUUGCCAUACCAUAUUUCCGCGAGUAAGUAUUUGGUUACUAGAGUACCCUCUAUUAUAUUCUUUCAUGAAUUUCCUUCAUAGUCGAUCGAGUAUGAUGGUUUAUUUCCAUUUUGCACAGAUUCAAGUACUGCACCCUCCUCCUCUUUCACCCGUAUCAUUCACAUGUCAGUUACCUCGACUCCGGGCUUGAUCCGGACAAGGACUUCACCGACCUUAAGUCUACACUUGAUAAAGCCCUCAGCGGCUUCAUAGCCGAGGUUGGCAUCGACAAAAUCAGGCAUGAGAAGAAAGUGAAAGGUUGCUAUGUGUGCAACCACAUAACCAAGUUCCCCUGCCUCAAGCAAUCGGCGCAUGACAAUGGGAUGGAGGCCUGGUUUGCCAUCCUACAGAUGAGGUCGAUUGUAAGGUCUCAGAACGAUCUCUUGUUGCCAUCCAGUCUUCAGCGGAUGUUCGUGAACAUGGCGGACACCACCGAUGAAAACGUGAGAGCCGAGUUCCGUGCCAUCCAGCGGACCAUUUGCACAAUACUCUGGAGGGAUGUCUGCGGUAAUGGUGGCUUGUUCCACUAUGGUCCCGCACUUUCUAAGGCCGAGAUAGAAGGCCAAUUAGAAGAUGGAUAUGACGACAGAACAUUCAACACGCUUGAGGGCAUCCGUCCCUUCCCGCCGAAGCCGAAGCCGCAAAUAUGACGUACUAUGUCGUCUACCACGGCAGGGUUCCUGGAGUCUACGAGGACUGGGAAGACUGUAGGAGGCAGGUCCACCGUUUCAGCGGCAACAGCUACAAGGGGUACACCACUUUGGAGGAGGCGGAAACUCGAUACGCCAACUUUCGAGCGGGACAGAGGAGGGAGAUGUGGAGGACCCCUUUCAUCGUGAUGAUGCUUGCCGCUACCGCCUCUCUAGUUUACUAUGUCAUUGUUGUUUAGCUAGGUCGUCGACUGGACUUAUAUGUAUUUCUGUAACAUGUGCUACUUCGAGUCAUGAUGGUUGAACCAUAUGGUCGACACUUGUGUUAUUGAUGCAUGCAUGUUAUCGACAUUUCGGGACUUUUGCCAAUGAUGUGUAUCUUGCUAAUGAUGUAUAUCUUGCUGUCAUUCUUGUA